GUUCGAUUCCCAGUACCAGAAAAAAAAAAAAAAAGGAGCGAGGAAGCUGAAAGGGCGGCCAGCGACCUAAAAGCAAACAGGAGGUGGAGGCGGAGGCAGAGGGGGAGACGCAGGUGCAGGCCAGUCCACAGAGGUGGUGCCUGCAGUUCAGGGUCUACAGGCGCUUCCAUUUUAAAGGAGGCAAACAAAGUCUGUGGGUGGGGUUUAAGCUGCUGAAGGAUAGAAUGUUUAAAAGAGACUGACUGGAGACAGUCACAACCUGCCUACCAAAGCACCAGGGUACUGGGGAUCGACUCCAGGGCCUCACAUGGGCUAGGCAGGUGCUCCACCCCUGAGCUAUGAUCCCAGCCGAAGGUCAUUCUGCAGGAGUGGACACUGGAAGAAGGUGGGGGAAGGGAGGAAGAGGAGGAGAAAGAAAAAUAACUGCAUUUAUUUCAGUACCGGGAACCAAACUCACGACCUCAAGCUUGCCAGGCAGGCACUGUGCUGCUGAGUUAAAUCCCCAGCUCCCCCAUGUAUAUGUCUUUAUAUGAGUAUGUAGAACUUUUUAAAAGAAAAAGACAAAUGAUAGCCAAGACUCCAAGUAAGAAAUGCAGCACGGACCCUCUGACUUUUCAUAGGCAAGGUGAAUGGAUCUGAAAACGUCAGAUUGACCAGAGGAUUCUAAGGAGGUGGAACCCACAGGCCAGGGCAGCCGGAAUCUAUCCAAGAAGCAGAGGCCUAGGACACAAGUUCGAAGGCUGAGAAAUUCCAGCUAUGAGCACCCCCACC